rnacentral:rRNA from 1 species
UUCAGAUUACAAGUCAUCGUACCCCAAACCGACACAGGUGGUCGGGUAGAGAAUACCAAGGCGCUUGAGAGAACUCGGGUGAAGGAACUAGGCAAAAUAGAACCGUAACCUCGGGAGAAGGUUCGCUCUUGACAGUGAAGUCCCUUGCGGAUGGAGCAGUUGGGAGUCGCAGUGACCAGAUGGCUGGGACUGUUUAUCAAAAACACAGCACUCUGCAAACACGAAAGUGGACGUAUAGGGUGUGACACCUGCCCGGUGCCGGAAGGUUAAUUGAUGGGGUUAGCGCAAGCGAAGCUCUUGAUCGAAGCCCCGGUAAACGGCGGCCGUAACAAUAACGGUCCUAAGGUAGCGAAAUUCCUUGUCGGGUAAGUUCCGACCUGCACGAAUGGUGUAACCAUGGCCAUGCUGUCUCCACCCGAGACUCAGUGAAAUCGAAUUCGCCGUGAAGAUGCGGUGUACCCGCGGCUAGACGGAAAGACCCCGUGAACCUUUACUACAGCUUGGCACUUAACAUUGAACCUACAUGUGUAGGAUAGGUGGGAGGCUUUGAAGGCGUGACGCCAGUUGCGCUGGAGCCGUCCUUGAAAUACCACCCUUGUAUGUUUGAUGUUCUAACGCAGGGCCCUGAAUCGGGCUCGCGGACAGUGCCUGGUGGGUAGUUUGACUGGGGCGGUCUCCUCCCAAAGAGUAACGGAGGAGCACGAAGGUUGGCUAAUCCUGGUCGGACAUCAGGAGGUUAGUGCAAUGGCAUAAGCCAGCUUAACUGCGAGACGGACAGGUCGAGCAGGUACGAAAGUAGGUCAUAGUGAUCCGGUGGUUCUGAAUGGAAGGGCCAUCGCUCAACGGAUAAAAGGUACUCCGGGGAUAACAGGCUGAUACCGCCCAAGAGUUCAUAUCGACGGCGGUGUUUGGCACCUCGAUGUCGGCUCAUCACAUCCUGGGGCUGAAGUCGGUCCCAAGGGUAUGGCUGUUCGCCAUUUAAAGUGGUACGCGAGCUGGGUUCAGAACGUCGUGAGACAGUUCGGUCCCUAUCUGCCGUGGGCGUUGGAUGAUUGAAGGGAGUUGCUCCUAGUACGAGAGGACCGGAGUGAACGAACCUCUGGUGUUCGGGUUGUCACGCCAGUGGCACUGCCCGGUAGCUAAGUUCGGAAUCGAUAACCGCUGAAAGCAUCUAAGCGGGAAGCGAGCCCUGAGAUGAGUCAUCCCUGACCCCUUGAGGGUCCUAAAGGGCCGUUGGAGACCAC